AGUGGGAUAACUGGGUCAAAUGGUGGUUCUAUUCCAAGUUUUCUGAGGAAUCUCCAUACUACUUUCCAGAAUGAUCUCACUGAUUUGCAGUCCUACCAGCAAU
rnacentral:pre_miRNA from 1 species